AACCUGCCCUUAACUCUGGGAUAAGCCUGGGAAACUGGGUCUAAUACCGGAUAGGAGCGUCCACCGCAUGGUGGGUGUUGGAAAGAUUUAUCGGUUUUGGAUGGACUCGCGGCCUAUCAGCUUGUUGGUGAGGUAAUGGCUCACCAAGGCGACGACGGGUAGCCGGCCUGAGAGGGUGACCGGCCACACUGGGACUGAGACACGGCCCAGACUCCUACGGGAGGCAGCAGUGGGGAAUAUUGCACAAUGGGCGCAAGCCUGAUGCAGCGACGCCGCGUGAGGGAUGACGGCCUUCGGGUUGUAAACCUCUUUCAGUAGGGAAGAAGCGAAAGUGACGGUACCUGCAGAAGAAGCACCGGCUAACUACGUGCCAGCAGCCGCGGUAAUACGUAGGGUGCGAGCGUUAUCCGGAAUUAUUGGGCGUAAAGAGCUCGUAGGCGGUUUGUCGCGUCUGUCGUGAAAGUCCGGGGCUUAACCCCGGAUCUGCGGUGGGUACGGGCAGACUAGAGUGCAGUAGGGGAGACUGGAAUUCCUGGUGUAGCGGUGGAAUGCGCAGAUAUCAGGAGGAACACCGAUGGCGAAGGCAGGUCUCUGGGCUGUAACUGACGCUGAGGAGCGAAAGCAUGGGGAGCGAACAGGAUUAGAUACCCCUGGUAGUCCAUGCCGUAAACGUUGGGCACUAGGUGUGGGGACCAUUCCACGGUUUCCGCGCCGCAGCUAACGCAUUAAGUGCCCCGCCUGGGGAGUACGGCCGCAAGGCUAAAACUCAAAGGAAUUGACGGGGGCCCGCACAAGCGGCGGAGCAUGCGGAUUAAUUCGAUGCAACGCGAAGAACCUUACCAAGGCUUGACAUGUUCUCGAUCGCCGUAGAGAUACGGUUUCCCCUUUGGGGCGGGUUCACAGGUGGUGCAUGGUUGUCGUCAGCUCGUGUCGUGAGAUGUUGGGUUAAGUCCCGCAACGAGCGCAACCCUCGUUCCAUGUUGCCAGCACGUAAUGGUGGGGACUCAUGGGAGACUGCCGGGGUCAACUCGGAGGAAGGUGAGGACGACGUCAAAUCAUCAUGCCCCUUAUGUCUUGGGCUUCACGCAUGCUACAAUGGCCGGUACAAUGGGUUGCGAUACUGUGAGGUGGAGCUAAUCCCAAAAAGCCGGUCUCAGUUCGGAUUGGGGUCUGCAACUCGACCCCAUGAAGUCGGAGUCGCUAGUAAUCGCAGAUCAGCAACGCUGCGGUGAAUACGUUCCCGGG
rnacentral:rRNA from 1 species